AAGUAUUAUGGCGGACAUGUUUUUGUGUUUGUAAAUAGAAUACAAACAUUGUCACAAGAUUGUGUGUAAUCGAAGCCUUAAUACGGUCUGUCUGCAGAAUCAUUACGAUUACAAUUAUCGAGAUCUUCUAAAACACAGAGAGACUAAUCGAGAAGUUAAGCCCGGUGACUUCCUCAAAGUUUCGUCUGAGUUUUACUCGCACCUCAGCUACCCAAUAUGUCUGGAUUUUUAGAUAACUGUCAAUUACCACGAUGCGAUUGCAUAGAACUCGGCGAAAGGCGGAAUAUGGUUGCUUCCAUCAUAUCCGGUAUAAUGUUUUUCAGUGGUUGGUGGAUUGUGAUCGAUGCGGCUGCCGUUUAUCCUGACAUGAAAGAUUUCAACCAUGCAUACCACACACCUGGGGUCAUCGGCACUGUGGCCUUCUUCCUGAUAAACUCGGUGUCAAAUGGUCAGAUUCGCGGGGAGAGCUACACUAACGGAUGUAUGGGACAAACAGGAGCUCGCAUCUGGUUGUUCUUUGGUUUCCUUCUGGGCUUUGGUGCUCUGAUUGCUGCAUCCUGGAUCUUGUUCGGCUUCUACGUCGUCCAGUUUGCGACUCCAGAUUGGCCUGGUAUUGCUGUCUUCCUGCAGAACGCACUCAUAUUUUUCAGUUCAAUUGUAUUCAAGUUUGGUCGGACUGAGGACCUGUGGGGGUGAGUUUGACCAGCCGACCGGCUGGACAGGAGAUGGCUGAGACCACAGAUUUAACAAGGAAUCAUCUCUUACACUGAAACCCACUGGGACAACUAUUAGUUUGUACUGUUUAUAUGCUGUUGCUGAAAUGUCUUCUUCAGUCUAUCAGGAAAUAGAAUGUGAAUAAUUUAUGGACAUUUCAUGAUAUUGAUGAAGAUUGUAAAUAUUCAGACAAUAUUUUAUGGGAUUUCCACAUUUGUUGGUUUUCUGCUGUAUCAAUAACUUCCAGGAUUUGUCUACAGCAGUAUGAUGACACAACCAACUAAUGAGAAAUACAAGUACAUCACUCUUCUCUGUCAUGCCUCUGGAAUUCUCUCUGAUUCAUGUUGUGUACUUGUAAAUUACUUGUGUGUGUAUUUGUGAUCUCCAAAGCUCCUGUCCCCAUAACCCAUGUCCUGUACAUAGUCCAGUCCCACGACUGUUUCUCCACACAACCCAGUGUAUCCUCUACCUUACAUAACUGCCUGUAUCUCUCCGGUGUGCUUCUCUCUCUUGUGUCUAUGUGGUCUGUCUACGUGAUCUGUCGACAUGGGUGGUCUAUGUGGGCUGUUUACGUGGUCUGUUAAAGUGGUCGGUCUACAUGGUCUACCUGGACUGACUCUCUUUACCUGCUGUAUCUGCAUCAAGUCUACCUGGGUUUUUUUCAUCAGGUCUGUCUACCUAGUUUAGUUUACCUGGGUAUGUUUGGAGCUAGUUAUAGAUUUUGUCAAUGGUUAACAUUGUCUCAAUGUCAGAAACAAGAAUCCUAUUGAUAAACUAGCAACGUGUGUUGUACACACACACUGUGACCAAAUCUCCAUACUUGAGAUUGAUGUGUGAGUCAGUGUUCAUCCCAAGGUAGCCAAGUUCAUACCCAGGUAGCCAUGUUCAUGCCCAGGUAGCCAUGUUCAUCCCCAGGUAGCCAUGUUCAUCCCCAGGUAGCCAUGUUCAUCCCCAGGUAGCCAUGUUCAGCAAACAAUAACGUUGUGCAGCGGCUCUGUAUGUGCUAUCGACAGUACUUCACUAGUGUGCACUGUUUCUCCUCUGUACUGUCAAUAUUGAUGAUUUGUUAGUGAGGUAGCUAUGUCCUUCCUCUUUGAUCUGAGAACUGUUGAACUGCAGUCAUUAUCCAACAGACAUUGUGUGAUUUUUCAAGCCUGUGUCAAGUUAGAAAUGUGACAUGACGUACACAGAUUUAGUCCACCAUGUGUGAAACAACAUGAAGAACCAAAACUGCUGGGAUCACAAGACAUGUUGAUGAUCUGGUCCAUGCUUGUGUCAGUGCUUGUGUCAGUGCUUGUGCAUGUACUGCACCCGAUUCACACCUGACAGUGAAUGUUUGUAUCCAUGGCAACACCUGCAGUCAAGAGAUGUACAUGAUUCUCAUUGACUGAGCUUGUGUCCAUGGCAACAGGUGGCAAUGGACCUAAUUCUGACUCAAUAGUGCUUGUGUCUGUGGCCUUGCAUGGACAGAGAGGGACCUGAUGUCCAUAUGGCUUAUGCUCUGCAUUGUUGGACUACUGUGCAAUUAUGUUUUUGUAAUUUAUGUCUUUGAAAUAUUUGUUAUUUAAAGAAACAAAUAAAAGUUGUUUCAAUAAAGCAAA
rnacentral:misc_RNA from 1 species